GUGCACAUGAGGAGAUAUACUCGGAUUCCCCUUCAGGACAUCUUGGAUGAUGCAGAUUCGAGAUUCUGAUGCA